AUCUUCUACAACAACGUGCUGCUCCACCCCAAAAUGCACACUUUCUGGGCGAAACUGCCGAUGGUGAGGGCGGCGAUGCUAGCUCACCCAGAGGCGGAGUGGAUCUGGUGGGUGGACUCAGACGCGAUGUUCACCGACAUGGAAUACAAACUUCCAUUACGCCGUUACGAUUACAAGAACCACAACCUAGUUGUCCACGGCGAAGUUGAUAUACGAGGAGAAGAGCUGGACUGCGCUAAACGCCGGUGUUUUCCUGAUCAGAAACUGUCAAUGGUCCAUGGACUUCAUAGAUAAGUGGGCCAAGAUGGGUCCUAUGAGCCCAGAGUACGAGAGAUGGGGCCAGAUUCAACGUUCCUUAUUCAAAGACAAGUUGUUCCCAGAAUCGGACGAUCAAUCGGCUCUGAUUUAUCUGCUGUACGAAGAUAAGAGUUUAAUGGACAAGAUUUAUCUAGAGGGGGAGUAUUACUUCGAAGGGUAUUGGUUGGAGAUAGUGCCGACAUACGAUAACAUCACCGAGAGGUACACAGAGAUAGAGAGAGGGGACAAGAAAUUGAAGAGGAGACAUGCGGAGAAAGUGAGCGAGCAAUACGGUGCGUU
rnacentral:misc_RNA from 1 species